AGGGAUGUAGCUCAGUUGGUAGAGUGCUUGUCUUGCGCACACAAGGCCCUGGGUUUGAUUCCCAGCACCACAG
rnacentral:tRNA from 1 species